AUUGAACGCUGGCGGCAUGCCUUACACAUGCAAGUCGAACGGCAGCACGGGUGCUUGCACCUGGUGGCGAGUGGCGAACGGGUGAGUAAUACAUCGGAACAUGUCCUGUAGUGGGGGAUAGCCCGGCGAAAGCCGGAUUAAUACCGCAUACGAUCCACGGAUGAAAGCGGGGGACCUUCGGGCCUCGCGCUAUAGGGUUGACCGAUGGCUGAUUAGCUAGUUGGUGGGGUAAAGGCCUACCAAGGCGACGAUCAGUAGCUGGUCUGAGAGGACGACCAGCCACACUGGGACUGAGACACGGCCCAGACUCCUACGGGAGGCAGCAGUGGGGAAUUUUGGACAAUGGGCGAAAGCCUGAUCCAGCAAUGCCGCGUGUGUGAAGAAGGCCUUCGGGUUGUAAAGCACUUUUGUCCGGAAAGAAAUCCUUGACUCUAAUACAGUCGGGGGAUGACGGUACCGGAAGAAUAAGCACCGGCUAACUACGUG
rnacentral:rRNA from 1 species